UGUCGGAAAGCAAAAAUGAGCCGAACAAUGCUACGAUUCUCUGGAUCUGAUUGUUUGUUGCUUAAGCUCUACGAAGUUGUCCAUGGUGAUAAUUCUUGCAGCGGGAUAGAGCCUACAGGGCGGCCAUCACUUCUGCGAAUGCAAGCAUCAGAUGUUUUACACUCUUAAAUCUGGGCGUCCAGUACGUGUCCGUUAAAGCUGCAUAUCUUCUUUUCAAAGUUCUCCGCUUUCCAUUCCAGGUAUGAAAGCAGAAAACAAAAAUACUAAACUACUCAACCAAAAGAAAAAUAAUAAUAAUUACUCAAUAAUAAGAGAUGCGGCAACAUCCUUAUACUAUAUAAGAAUGAGUUUGGGUCAAAGAAUGGUUUUGAAUUUCAACAGCAAGAAUAGGGGUAUUUUGGGAUUGUGAGGUUGUUUUGAGUGUAGUUAUAGUAUUGGGUACUACUUUAGAUAGCAUGUGUAUUAUUGUGUUUACUGAAAUGUCCUUGUAUUCUAAAAGAUGCAGUGAUGAUUUGUUCAAAGGUUUGGGUAGUUUGGGAAUGUGAGAUUAUUUGAUCA